UUCCGUGAUGAUCUCCUGAUAGGGACAUCUUAUGCACUCGCAUAUGAUUCGAACUGGGAGCUAGUUUUUUAGUAGAUGCUUCGCACCUCUGACC
rnacentral:snoRNA from 1 species